AUUGAACGCUGGCGGCAGGCCUAACACAUGCAAGUCGAACGGUAACAGGAAGAAGCUUGCUUCUUUGCUGACGAGUGGCGGGCGGGUGAGUAAUGUCUGGGAAACUGCCUGAUGGAGGGGGAUAACUACUGGAAACGGUAGCUAAUACCGCAUAACGUCGCAAGACCAAAGAGGGGGACCUUCGGGCGUCUUGCCAUCGGAUGUGCCCAGAUGGGAUUAGCUAGUAGGUGGGGUAACGGCUCACCUAGGCGACGAUCCCUAGCUGGUCUGAGAGGAUGACCAGCCACACUGGAACUGAGACACGGUCCAGACUCCUACGGGAGGCAGCAGUCGGGAAUAUUGCACAAUGGGCGCAAGCCUGAUGCAGCGAGGCCGCGUGUAUGAAGAAGGCCUUCGGGGUGUAAAGUACUUUCAGCGGGGAGGAAGGGAGUAAAGUUAAUACCUAGGCUCAUUGACGGUACCCGCAGAAGAAGCACCGGCUAACUCCGUG
rnacentral:rRNA from 1 species